UUACGGUCAUAUCAUGCCGAAACAUUGGUUCUCGUACGAUCAUUGAAGUUAAGCAACGUCGAUCCUGGUAUAGAUGGGUGACCGCAUGGGAAUUCCAGGUGCUGUAAGC